CAGUGAUAUAAACUUUAAACUGGUGUCUGUUUGCGUAACUUAGUCUUACGAAAGCCACUUAAUGGACAGAAGCGUGAACACUGAUUAUUCUUGUCAGAAAUUUACCAUUUUUAUCUCACUAUCUCUCAAUGUAGUUUAAAAAAAAAAGAAUGAAAUAUUAUUUGAAGUGUUUGAUAUAGAUAAAAGUAGAUAAAUAUUAUAACCAAAAGGGGAUCUAUUUUUUAUGUUGUGUUUUCCUGAUUGGCCGGAGUUGUGUUAUGUCAUCUCAGCGCGUUUCAUAGCGAUUGGUGAACAACUCAUCAUAAGUGGCAAAGGGGCCAAUCAAUGAUAAGUACGUUGUAAGACUGAUGAGAAAUGCUACACUAACCCAUACAUAACAUAUUUUCGUAACAGCAGCUGGUGAAACUACUUCUGGAAGAGACAGUGCGCUUCCGGAACAGCAACAUACCUUUCAUAGCCUGUAAAAGACGCUUGUGUUUCCAGGCACGAAACAGAUACAGUAGAAACUGAACGAUCUGUACACCAUGGUAUGACUUCUGAUAAAAGCCAGCGUCUAUGUGGUGCGCAAGAUCCGCGCUGCCCUUACAGAGGGAGAGCAAGCAGAACAACCUGUGCUCACACCAUGUAGUCUGGCUAAAGGUAAAAAGGAGCGCUAUGCAUCAGACGCAGCAUUAAUGCCCGCUCCAGAGCCUGAGGGUGCUGCUGGGUCAUCUGCAUCUACAGAGACAGCUGUGCAGAAAUGUGGUUCCUGAGGUUAAAGGUCACGCAGAAUUAAAUCUGGGCACAAUGGAGGCUGAAAAAACAGCAUUGCUGGACACCAGCAUGUGUUGUGAUUUGGAUGCUGCUAGUGUUUCAACAAGGCCAUCUAAGCUGGUCUUUUAAGUAGAGGUUUUACAAGCGGAAGGC
ensembl:lncRNA